rnacentral:rRNA from 1 species
UACGUAGGGGGCGAGCGUUAUCCGGAAUUACUGGGCGUAAAGCGCACGCAGGCGGUUCGCCAAGUUUGGAGUGACAGUUGUCGGCUCAACCGACAAAGGACUUCAAAAACUGGUGAACUUGAGGACGAGAGAGGAACAUGGAACUCCAGGUGUAGUAGUGAAAUGCGUAGAUAUCUGGAGGAACACCGGUGGCGAAGGCGGCCUACUGGGCCAGCACUGACGCUGAGGCGCGAAAGCUCGGGGAGCGAACGGG